UACGAAGGGGGCUAGCGUUGUUCGGAAUCACUGGGCGUAAAGGGCGCGUAGGCGGCUUGAUAAGUCGGGGGUGAAAGCCUGUGGCUCAACCACAGAAUUGCCUUCGAUACUGUCUGGCUCGAGACCGGAAGAGGUAAGUGGAACUGCGAGUGUAGAGGUGAAAUUCGUAGAUAUUCGCAAGAACACCAGUGGCGAAGGCGGACUUACUGGUCCGGUUCUGACGCUGAGGCGCGAAAGCGUGGGGAGCAAACAGG
rnacentral:rRNA from 1 species